ACGGCAAUUUUCAAUGUAUUUACACAUUUAGAUAUUUCUCUUUUCUCUAUUUUGACUGUUUUACCUUUGCUUACCUUUCUAUUUACCAAAUAACGCAAUCCGACAACAUUGGUGUGUUUUCACCGCCGGAGCAGCUCUGUUCAGAUUCUUCUUGUUUUGUUGAAAUCAGAAGAAAUUAGCAGCAAAGGCCAGACUUGAAAGUACUAAAUUACCCAUCAAAAUCAACAUUUCAAACCUUCACCAAAUAUUUGUUUAAUUUUUGUCUGGGUUGGCUAUAUACUAUCCUUUCGGGUUUAGUUUCUUCCAUCAUUGAGAGUUUGUAAAAGAAAAUGGUUGUUUGGGAUAAGAGA